GGGGGCCUCUUACCUAAUUCUAUGUAUUGUUCCUGGCAUUCUGACUACCUUAUCCAUUAGUAUGUCCUUCCUUGCUCCAUUAUGUAUCUCUUGGUUCAAACUAAACCUAGUGCUUUACACUGCAUAUCAGUAUUACUUGACUGUAUUCUAGGUUGCCUCCACUUGUUCGGAUCCCUAUGCUCUCUUGUUCGAAACCUCUCCUGUUUGAUAGGCGAUAAAUUCA
rnacentral:lncRNA from 1 species